CCCGUCGUCCCGAACGAUUCCCCACCCCGAUGCGCCUCCCUCUCCUCCCAGCGCGCCGCCGCCGCGGCCUCCCCGUCCCCCAGCGCGCGCUGCCGCGGCCACCCUCUCUCCCAGCUCGCCGCCGCCGCGGCCUCCCCGUCCCCCAGCGCGCGCUGCCGCGGCAACCCUCUCUCCCAGCUCGCCGCCGCCGCGGCCUCCCCCUCCCCCAGCGCGCGCCGCCGCGGCCACCCCUCCCCCAGCUCGCCGCCGCCGCGGCCACCCCUCCCCCAGCUCGCCGCCGCCGCGACCAGCCCCUCCACCGCAUCAGCUCCCAGGACGUUCAGAGCCGCCAACCAGUCCGUUCACCACCGCGAACAGAGCCCGUUCAACGACGCAGCGGUUCGAUGUGUGACACGCUGCCCUGCCCUGACGUGCAGCCGACGCGCACCAUCCCAUCGUCGGCGCGACCUCUGCCACGUCGGGUCGCAGCCCCAGCCACCCAGCGCGCCGCUCGCGCAGAUCGCCUGCGUGCUGGUGGCGAGCGUCUCCUUGUCUCGUACUCCUGCUGAACUCGGGCUCCUCUGCCCAGGCCCUUGUCUUCGCAGCACUUGCGCGGUCAUCCGGCAGCGGCGGCGCCAAUGGAUCCAACGAUGUUAGCCUCCGGCAGCGGCGGCGCUUCUGGCUACCCUGACGUGCCCCACUCCAGCUCCUCCCCUUCCCGGCGAGCCUCCCAUGCCACAGUUUCUCUGUCUCUCUCUCUCUCAAGAACGUGUUCUGUUGGACAGUUCGAGUGCAUCAUCCUCCGUGCUAGUAAUAAUGUGUACACAUCAGUGCAUAUGUGCUACUAGUGUACAUGCGAAUUGUCCUGUGCUAGUACAAUCAUUUCCAUCUUCCGAUGGACAGUUCAAGUACAAAACACCUACCUCUCGCUGAUCCCCUGCCUUACUCUACUUUGUUUAAUCCUGUGAGAGUUAGCUACAAAAGAUAGCAUAGCUAAAAAUCCUUCAUGCUGAACCAUGUAUUUUUACCUAAACAAACUUUUAAAACAACUAUUGUGCAGGUGAACAAAUUUACUGUUUGAGGCUCCCUGCUGGAUGUCGGUGCCGGAGGCGAACAGACACCAUCGUCUCCCCGCGCCCAUAGACUUCUCUUCUCUCCUGCAACGCAAGGUUGAUUUUCCUCUUAAACAUUCACACGGAAAAGAAUAGAGCUACUCCUUACACAUUGUGUGCUGGCGUCAGAACGUGUUAUACUCCAACAGAAGUUCUGCAGGGACAUAUAGACAGAGUGAUGUGUUGUGUGCUGUUAGUUCAUAAAAGUUCAGGAACUAGAGAUUCAACACACAAUCAAUGUAUAAUAAUAUCUCCUAUUUUGCUCAUUUUUUCUUUCCAAAACAGCACCAUGUUUUUGUUCCCAAUAACGAUGGCUAUAUUGUUCACCGCAACGUAAGUACAGUUCUGGGUUCCAGCUUUUGAUCCAUUCUCUUAUUUUAUUGCACUAAAACAUGCUUGAACCAUGUUUGGGAAUAUGUUAGAUAGCUCCGGCACAGGUGACUCGGUUUGCACUUGUACUUCUCAAGUGGGAGCUAUGUGUACUAAUUAUUUUGCUAGCAAACCUAAGUCUUAUUCUGUGCAUGUGUACUUGUACUUCUUAACUUGUUCUAGCAAAUAUAUGUGAAAACUAGGUAGCAUUUCUUCACACUUUUGGUGGGAAAAAUAUUGUUAAAACAUGUUUCUUCAAAUGGGAAUUAAUCAAAAAAUUGGCAGAGGCAGUGUAGGAGUAGCAGCCACGUCAUGGAUGGUGAAAUGCGAACAAGGUUUCAGUCGGGGUGGUCUACACCAACUACCUUCAGCUAGGAGGACAGAAAAUAGUAGUAGGAUGAAUACAUUGGCCUUACCGGUCUGUCCAGCAACUUCAUUCCACGCCAGUACAUGCAAUGCUAUGUUUUUUCUUUGCUAGUAUCAUGUGCAUCCUCGAGUCCUAAUACGAGUCAUGUUUACCCUGUAGUUAUGUUCCUAUGUUUGGAGAGACGAACUAUGAUCCGAGCCGUCAGUACGCGCCUAUACCGACGGGAGAACAACUUGAGGCACUUGGAAAAGGCAUAGAGAAGAGGAAUAUCUUCCUAGGACUCACUCUUCACUGACAAAGACAAGAAGACCGGCAGCAUCCUCAGCCAGGUGUGCACGGUGAGCGGCUACUGAACUAGCACAAAGGAUACCAAGCAGGCUAAGGGUGAAGUACACGAUGCAGGCAAUGAGGAGAACAAAAACAUGCAAUCCGUACACAUAGAAGCAGCUGCAAGUUCUUUUGUCUAUGAUGAUAUGAUUGCUACUCCCUCCGUUCGGAAUUACUUGUCGCAGAAAUGGAUGUAUCUAGACGUAUUUUAGUUCUAGAUACAUCCAUUUCCGAGACAAGUAAUUCCGAACGGAGGGAGUACUUCUUAAAAGAAAGUGUACAUGAUAGUUUGAUGUUUCUACAAGAAAGGAAAAAAUGGUUUGAAUUUAAAACAUUGAUCAGUACAGAUAAAAACAAUUAUUAGUUCGAGUGCUCUCUCCUGCCUAUGUUGGUUGAUGUCCACGGACGGACAAGAAAUUGUAUGGAAUGUUCAAUUAUUACUAGCAUAUAAGUUUAGAUAAUAAAUAGCUGUUGGUUCGUCUA